CCCGUCACACCAUGGGAGUCAGUUGCUCUAGAAGUCGGUGCGCCAACCUCGUGAGGCAGCCGCCUAAAGAGUGACUGGUGACUGUGGUG
rnacentral:rRNA from 1 species